UACGUAGGUGGCAAGCGUUGUCCGGAUUUACUGGGCGUAAAGAGCGCGCAGGCGGUCGUUUAAGUCGAAUGUGAAAGCCCCCGGCUCAACUGGGGAGGGUCAUUCGAUACUGAUCGACUUGAAGGCAGGAGAGGGAAGUGGAAUUCCGGGUGUAGUGGUGAAAUGCGUAGAUAUUCGGAAGAACACCAGUGGCGAAGGCGACUUACUGGACACAUAUUGACGCUGAGGUGCGAAAGCGUGGGGAGCAAACAGG
rnacentral:rRNA from 1 species